GAUGAACGCUGGCGGCGUGCCUAAUACAUGCGAGUCGAGCGAACGGACGAGAAGCUUGCUUCUCUGAUGUAAGCGGCGGACGGGUGAGUAACACGUGGAUAACCUACCUAUAAGACUGGGAUAACUUCGGGAAACCGGAGCUAAUACCGGAUAAUAUUUUGAACCGCAUGGUUCAAAAGUGAAAGACGGUCUUGCUGUCACUUAUAGAUGGAUCCGCGCUGCAUUAGCUAGUUGGUAAGGUAACGGCUUACCAAGGCAACGAUGCAUAGCCGACCUGAGAGGGUGAUCGGCCACACUGGAACUGAGACACGGUCCAGACUCCUACGGGAGGCAGCAGUAGGGAAUCUUCCGCAAUGGGCGAAAGCCUGACGGAGCAACGCCGCGUGAGUGAUGAAGGUCUUCGGAUCGUAAAACUCUGUUAUUAGGGAAGAACAUAUGUGUAAGUAACUGUGCACAUCUUGACGGUACCUAAUCAGAAAGCCACGGCUAACUACGUG
rnacentral:rRNA from 1 species